AAAUUGAAGAGUUUGAUCAUGGCUCAGAUUGAACGCUGGCGGCAGGCCUAACACAUGCAAGUCGAACGGUAACAGGAAGCAGCUUGCUGCUUCGCUGACGAGUGGCGGACGGGUGAGUAAUGUCUGGGAAACUGCCUGAUGGAGGGGGAUAACUACUGGAAACGGUGGCUAAUACCGCAUAACGUCGCAAGACCAAAGAGGGGGACCUUUGGGCCUCUUGCCAUCAGAUGUGCCCAGAUGGGAUUAGCUUGUUGGUGAGGUAACGGCUCACCAAGGCGACGAUCCCUAGCUGGUCUGAGAGGAUGACCAGCCACACUGGAACUGAGACACGGUCCAGACUCCUACGGGAGGCAGCAGUG
rnacentral:rRNA from 1 species